UGCGUAGGGUGCAAGCGUUAAUCGGAAUUACUGGGCGUAAAGCGUGCGCAGGCGGUUUUGUAAGUCUGUCGUGAAAUCCCCGGGCUCAACCUGGGAAUUGCGAUGGAGACUGCAAGGCUAGAAUCUGGCAGAGGGGGGUAGAAUUCCACGUGUAGCAGUGAAAUGCGUAGAGAUGUGGAGGAACACCGAUGGCGAAGGCAGCCCCCUGGGUCAAGAUUGACGCUCAUGCACGAAAGGCGU
rnacentral:rRNA from 1 species